GACGAACGCUGGCGGCGUGCCUAAUACAUGCGAGUCGAGCGGACUGAAUGGGAGCUUGCUCUUGUUCGGUCAGCGGCGGACGGGUGAGUAACACGUGGGCAACCUGCCCGCAAGACCGGGAUAACUCCGGGAAACCGGAGCUAAUACCGGAUAACACCGAAGACCGCAUGGUCUUUGGUUGAAAGGCGGCGCAAGCUGCCACUUGCGGAUGGGCCCGCGGCGCAUUAGCUAGUUGGUGAGGUAACGGCUCACCAAGGCGACGAUGCGUAGCCGGCCUGAGGGGGUGACCGGCCGCACUGGGAGUGAGACACGGCCCAGACUCCUACGGGAGGCAGCAGUAGGGAAUCUUCCGCAAUGGGCGAAAGACUGACGGAGCGACGCCGCGUGAGCAAAGAAGGCCUUCGGGUCGUAAAGCUCUGUUGUGAGGGACGAAGGAGCGCCGUUUGAAGAAGGCGGCGCGGUGACGGUACCUCACGAGGAAGCCCCGGCUAACUACGUG
rnacentral:rRNA from 1 species